rnacentral:rRNA from 1 species
UACGAAGGGGCUAGCGUUGCUCGGAAUCACUGGGCGUAAAGCGCACGUAGGCGGAUCUUUAAGUCAGGGGUGAAAUCCUGGAGCUCAACUCCAGAACUGCCUUUGAUACUGAGGAUCUUGAGUCCGGGAGAGGUGAGUGGAACUCCGAGUGUAGAGGUGAAAUUCGUAGAUAUUCGGAAGAACACCAGUGGCGAAGGGCGGCUCACUGGCCCGGUACUGACGCUGACGGUGCGAAAGCGUGGGA